AAGACGAGGACGAAUAUCGGGACGCAGUGCCAAACCUCGAGCUUGCAUUAGGGGCAGAGACUAAACUACGAAAGAAGAGUAUGAUCCCUUUCUUUAUGGAUUUAGUGGAUGAGAAACAUAACCACAGUGAGUCUUCAGAAAAGGUGAUUGAUGUCGAAGAAGAAGAUGACUCUACAUCCCUAACAUUGUCUUUGUCACUCCAUUCCCAGAGAAGCAACAAUCCGCAAAAACUAUUUCGAAAACAGAACAGCUUCUACCCGAUAG
rnacentral:misc_RNA from 1 species